rnacentral:ncRNA from 1 species
AACAUAACUUGGUUCUGAUUAACCAGAUUAGUUAUUCUUAAAUAUUUACAUGGUAGUAUAUAUGCGAUCUAUGAGGCACAAAAAUAUUUUUAAUAAACAACAAGCUUCCAAGCUAAUAAGCACACUAACUCAAAGCUCAUAACCCCAGUAUAUUAUAUUAUAAAUAAACGAAAGUUUGACCUAGUUAUAAGAAAAAGAAAAGGCCAAGGUUUGUGCCAGCAGUCGCGGUUACACAAUAUUUCCAAGCUAAUCCCAUUAAGUUUAUAAUAUUCAUAAUCAUCCCACUCAAGAAACACUAUUUCCUGUUAAGAAGUUAAAUUCAAAAAUAAGACAAAAACUAAAAGUUUCUUCAUUUUGCCUGAAUACAACUAACCUAAAGACUGGGAUUAGAUACCCCACUAUUUUCUUCCACCCACAAUUUUUAUUUACUAAGGAACUACAAGCAAAUAGCUUCAAAACUAAAGAACUUGGCGGUACUUUAUCCUAUUAGGGGAACCUGUUCUAUCAUUGACAAUCCACAAUUAAUCUUACCUAUUUUAGCCCUUCAUAUAAUCAGCUUGCAUAUCGUUGUCAUCAGCUCAUCUCUAAAAGUUUAAAAAAAUGAGCCCUUUAAAUACCAUAAUUUUUCAGAUGUCAGAUCAAGAUACAGCUAAUAAAUAGGCAGCAAUGGGUUACAAUACACACCCCAGUUAUUGAACUCCCCCUUUAAACAGGGGGACCAAAGCGGACUUAAAAGUAAUUUUGAUAAUAGCAUAGCAUUAUGAACUGGCUCUAAAAUAUGCACAUAUCGCCCGUCGCUCUUAACUCACCUUUAAGAUAAGUCGUAACAUAGUAGAUGUAGUGGAAACUGCCUCUGCCAUAUA